rnacentral:lncRNA from 1 species
GAUUACUGUAUGUUCUCUAUCUCCUGAUUGAACCCAAACAGAUACAUAUUUUCAGCAUUUCUAACAACCACAAGUUACUAUAGAAAAAUACCACAAAGAUGUGAAGUUUUGAAGUAAAUGUUUAAGUGCUCCCAAAAUGUCACAAUAUUUAAGUGGCAUAGAUAAGAAACAAAAAAGCAUAUGCAACUAGAAUUAUGGAAAUAGCACUAAUAUAUGAAGAGGCCGCUGAGCAGUGAAAAUGGGUGGCAAUAGGAAAGCACAGGCCUCUGUUGCAGCAGAAUGACUGGUUCCAGGGGUCUGAGCACACAGAGCUACUUCUGAAAGA